rnacentral:tRNA from 67 species
GUCCCGGUAUUCGGAGGUUCGAAUCCUUCCGUCCCAG